rnacentral:rRNA from 1 species
UCUUAACUCUGGCGGCGUGCCUAAUACAUGCAAGUCGAGCGAACAGACGAGGAGCUUGCUCCUCUGACGUUAGCGGCGGACGGGUGAGUAACACGUGGAUAACCUACCUAUAAGACUGGGAUAACUUCGGGAAACCGGAGCUAAUACCGGAUAAUAUAUUGAACCGCAUGGUUCAAUAGUGAAAGACGGUUUUGCUGUCACUUAUAGAUGGAUCCGCGCCGCAUUAGCUAGUUGGUAAGGUAACGGCUUACCAAGGCAACGAUGCGUAGCCGACCUGAGAGGGUGAUCGGCCACACUGGAACUGAGACACGGUCCAGACUCCUACGGGAGGCAGCAGUAGGGAAUCUUCCGCAAUGGGCGAAAGCUUGACGGAGCAGCGCCGCGUGAGUGAUGAAGGUCUUCGGAUCGUAAAACUCUGUUAUUAGGGAAGAACAAAUGUGUAAGUAACUAUGCACGUCUUGACGGUACCUAAUCAGAAAGCCACGGCUAACUACGUG